rnacentral:rRNA from 1 species
UUUAUUGGAGAGUUUGAUCCUGGCUCAGGACGAACGCUGGCGGCGUGCCUAAUACAUGCAAGUCGAGCGAGGGUUUUCGAACCCUAGCGGCGGACGGGUGAGUAACACGUAGGCAACCUGCCUCUCAGACCGGGAUAACAUAGGGAAACUUAUGCUAAUACCGGAUAGGUUUUUGGAUCGCAUGAUCUGAAAAGGAAAGAUGGCGUUUGCUAUCACUGGGAGAUGGGCCUGCGGCGCAUUAGCUAGUUGGUGGGGUAACGGCCUACCAAGGCGACGAUGCGUAGCCGACCUGAGAGGGUGACCGGCCACACUGGGACUGAGACACGGCCCAGACUCCUACGGGAGGCAGCAGUAGGGAAUUUUCCACAAUGGACGAAAGUCUGAUGGAGCAACGCCGCGUGAACGAUGAAG